AACGAACGCUGGCGGCAGGCCUAACACAUGCAAGUCGAGCGAGGACUUCGGUCCUAGCGGCGGACGGGGGAGUAACGCGUGGGAACGUGCCCUUUGCUUCGGAAUAGCCCUGGGAAACUGGGAGUAAUACCGGAUGAGCCCUUUGGGGGAAAGAUUUAUCGGGGUAGGAUCGGCCCGCGUUGGAUUAGGUAGUUGGUGGGGUAAUGGCCUACCAAGCCCACGAUCCAUAGCUGGUUUGAGAGGAUGAUCAGCCACACUGGGACUGAGACACGGCCCAGACUCCUACGGGAGGCAGGAGAGGGGAAUCUUAGACAAUGGGGGAAACCCUGAUCUAGCCAUGCCGCGUGAGCGAUGAAGGCCUUAGGGUUGUAAAGCUCUUUCAGCUGGGAAGAUAAUGACGGUACCAGCAGAAGAAGCCCCGGCUAACUCCGUG
rnacentral:rRNA from 1 species